rnacentral:tRNA from 1 species
GGGCCCAUGGUGUAGGGGUAAGCGUGGUUUUCUCUGACCAAGUCGGCCUGGGUUCGAUCCCAGACGGUCCC